rnacentral:misc_RNA from 1 species
GAUGAAGAACGUAGCGAAAUGCGAUACUUGGUGUGAAUUGCAGAAUCCCGUGAACCAUCGAGUCUUUGAACGCAAGUUGCGCCCGAAGCCACUAGGCCGAGGGCACGCCUGCCUGGGCGUCACACGCCGUUGCCCCCCCAUCUACUCCUUCGGGAUUGCGGGGGGGCGGAUGAUGGCCUCCCGUGCGCCUAGCCGCGCGGUUGGCAUAAAUACCAAGUCCUCGGCGACGCACGCCACGACAAUCGGUGGUUGCGAAACCUCGGUUGCCCGUCGUGUGCGUUCGUCGCGCAUCGAGGGCUCGAAAAAAUGCUCGGCUCCGGCUGGGCUUUCAACGCGACCCCAGGUCAGGCGGGGUCACCCGCUGAAUUUAAGCAUAUCAAUAAGCGGAGGA